CUCCCAUCUAUGUGAUCGAUUCUAAAAAAAUCACACACACAUAAUUGAUAUUUGAUAAAUCCCAUUGGAUGUUUCUCAUAAUGCCAUCUUGUGGAUUUUGUAGGUACAUUCACUAUUUCAAACCUUGGUAUGUUUAGUGUUGAUAGCUUUGAUGCAAUUCUGCCUCCAGGAACUGUAUCAAUCAUGGCUGUUAGAGCAUCCCAACCAACUGCAGUUGUUACCAAGGAUGGUCGGAUUGGUGUGAAAAACAAAACCACAUUACUUCUCUCUUUGUGCUAGAUUUGAAUCUGUUGGCCGUUGCACAAUGACCCCCGAAGAAGUGGAAGGUAGAGCUGCUGACUCUAGGAGUUGCUGGUAGUGAACCUGAAAUUGAUGGAGAGGAAAUUGCUCCUCUUGCUAAGGGGAAUGUGGCCACUCCUUGAAAUCUCAAGUCAACCGACACUAACCUAAGCUUUUUACAACUAACCGUACCUUUGUAAUUCAUGGAUCCGUUGGCUAGUCAUCGUCCCAAGAUGGAAGCACAAUAUUUUUUUGCUUAUGGAAGUCCAAUUCUCUUACUACGAACAGAUAUAAUCUUUUAUGUAUGCAAUAGACUGAUAGUCUACUCACCUCAUUUCUAAGCAUUGUCGUUAAGGUUAUAGAGAAGGAAUGUAAUCUUUCUCCAUGCAUUCAGUUUUCUUUUGGCCCACUGUAACUUCUUAGACAUGUAAUGUAUUGGCAAGAUCAUCUAAUUAGCUAAUAUGAGACCCACAUUAUUAAAUUUUUGGCGUUGGUGUGAUAUGGAUCGUUCAUUCAAUUGGUAAGGCCAGGGAUGCCAUGGCUCAUUGCCUCAUCACUUAAUGUUUAUGUAAAAACAUUUCAAUUGAAUUAUAUAUAAUAAUAAUUAUUACUGGCUUGCGCUGGGGCGUCUCA